CCGCCAUGGCCCCCUCGAAAAUUACCUGGAGAAAGUGGUGGCUAUUUACGACUACACACGAGACAAAGAAGACGAGCUGUCCUUCCAGGAGGGGGCAAUCAUUUACGUCAUCAAGAAGAACGAUGACGGCUGGUUCGAGGGCGUGAUGAGCGGCACCACGGGCCUCUUCCCUGGGAAACUACGUGGAGUCCAUCAUGCAUACGCUGACUGAGCCAGCGGGUGGCGCCACUGCUCCUCUGUCCAUCAUCUUCCUCAUUCUUUUGAGUGCGCACAUAUACACACACACACACACACACACA